GCUCCCAAGGAGCGUUGCAGCGCCGCGGCCCGAUCCAGCCUUCGAGUCGCCGCGUCAGGCUUGGGCUUCCACCCGAUGGAUUGCAACGACGCUCGCCUGAC
rnacentral:ncRNA from 1 species